UACCUUAUUUCGGACGAAAGUCAUAGUCGGCAGGACGAUCGCACAAGCAGGCACUUGCAAAUCGACUCAUGCCUAUAAGUGCCGCAAAACACCUGAUUAGGGACCGUGACGACUAGUCGUUUCAUCGUUUUCCCUCUCUCCCGUCUCCCUGUUCAAAAUCGGAACAUCUUCUUCUCGAUCUCAAUCCCAAAUCAUUAACAUAAACUGGAAUUCCAAUCUCUCUUUACACAUACAUGUAGUUGGGCACAAUCUAGUAACUGCAACUUUGCAAUUUCAGUUCCAAAAUCUUGGAGCUAGUAGCAAUUUUCGAUCGGAGAAAGGAGAAAUACAAAAUAAAGAAUGAUAACUCGCUCUAAACUCGCGGAGCAACUCAGAGACUACCAGAUCCGAUCCCAGCACAAGUUUACAGCUCUCACCAUCUUCUCCCCUAAACCUCACAUUACUUCUCGGGCUGAUGUUGCUGUGGCUAUCUUUUGGGCGUUAGUGUUUAGCAUACUUGUCAUAUCAUCCUGUGUGACCCUUUAUUUCAGGCACUUUUGGUUUUCUUUUCUCAUAACCUGCCUUGGGAUUUUUCUUCUCACACGCUUGAGAAGUUCUAGGCAGGCACUGGCCUGGAAGAAGGAGAGAAGAUUGUUAUUACCUUUGUCCAUGUGAACAUGAUUUAGCAAUAGAGUACUUUGCCUAUGUAGCUUGGUCAUGAUAAUUAAAUCGCAUUCGAGUCCUGUGACUUACUUUAAAACAAACUCAAGUGCGGAGGGCUACUCUUGGUUAACCAGGACCCUUGCCUGGUCCUUUAGAUAUGUGGUACAAUUUUUUUUUAUCCCCCAACAUAACAAAUACACACAAUCCUUGAGAAUUUACCCAACACUUCUUUUCACAUGUAAACACCUUACAAUUGAGCAACAUUAAGGAAGUUGUAGAUUUAUUAAUCAUUAUAGUUAAAGAAAAUCUAUUUUAAAAUCUCUUGCACAUUGAGUUGUUAUAUAACCCUUUUAUUGUAAAGUUUGAAACACAGACAUGGCAUGAUGAUUAGCUUUCUCUGUUCUUUUCUUUGAGUAAGUUAUGGACCUAGAUUUUGUCUGAACAUGUGCAUUUUACUUGAUCCUAAGUUCAAAAAGAUAAGAUCACUAUGGGGUGGGGUUGUGCUAGAGUCUGUUAUUUGUUAGCUAUGCACCAAGGGUUCAACCAUGAAUUUAAGUGGCUAAGGUCAAGUAAUCUUUAAUUGAAUUCAGUCCAGAUCUUGGUUGGCAAGUUGGGUUACCUGACUUGAACCAACCUGACCUAUGCAAUAUAAAAGUUCGCCUUCUUAGUUUAAAUUUUGUUUUGGUGUUUAUGCAUGUAAUCAGAAACUAUGGGUUCUUAUUGUCAUCCAUUCUCACCGGAAGAAAGGUUACUAUCAGUAGCUACAGUUGAAUUUCCAUUGUGGUAGUAAAACUGAAACUAAUUUUUCUGUUGGGGAACAAGAAACAACAUAUGUAAACCACUGGAUUUUCUAGUCAUCAAAUCUAACCAGAUUGGAUUUGCUACAGUUAUCUUGUUCUACUGCAAAUAAUUACAUGCCAAUAUUUGUUUUUUUCAAGUGUGUCAGAUUUAUUUAUGAAAAACCAACGAGGACCGAUGUUAGUUGUCCUCUCAUUUUAGCUCCUCCAGUCUUGCUAAGAUUUUUCUGGUGUUAUUUCUUUCUUUAUGGCAUUAGAGUUGAUCUGGAAUUAUUCGAAAAUUUUGUUAACUGGAUGUUGGGAGACUUGUUAGGUUUUCAAUUAAAUUGAAUAUUCCCUUCUUGUAUAAAAGGAGGCUUUUAUUAUUAUUAUUAUUAUUAUUAUUAUUA